CAGCAGUAGGGAAUCUUCCGCAAUGGACGCAAGUCUGACGGAGCAACGCCGCGUGAGUGAUGAAGGUUUUCGGAUCGUAAAGCUCUGUUGCCCUAGACGAAAAGCGAGGGGAGUAACUGCCCUUCGUGUGACGGUAUAGGAGAAGAAAGCCCCGGCUAACUACGUGCCAGCAGCCGCGGUAAUACGUAGGGGGCAAGCGUUGUCCGGAAUUAUUGGGCGUAAAGCGCGCGCAGGCGGUCCUUUAAGUCUGAUGUGAAAUCCCACGGCUCAACCGUGGAAGGUCAUUGGAAACUGGGGGACUUGAGUACAGAAGAGGAAAGCGGAAUUCCAAGUGUAGCGGUGAAAUGCGUAGAGAUUUGGAGGAACACCAGUGGCGAAGGCGGCUUUCUGGUCUGUAACUGACGCUGAGGCGCGAAAGCGUGGGGAGCAAACAGGAUUAGAUACCCUG
rnacentral:rRNA from 1 species